rnacentral:tRNA from 1 species
GGAGAGAUGCCGGAGUGGUCGAUCGGGACGGUCUCGAAAACCGUUGUACUUUUACGGGUACCGGGGGUUCGAAUCCCCCUCUCUCCG